rnacentral:rRNA from 1 species
AAGUCUAAGGAUUCCUGAGAAAGGUUAAUCCGCUCAGGGUUAGUCGGAGCCUAAGGUGAGGCCGAAAGGCGUAGCUGAUGGACACACGGUUAAUAUUCCGUGACUUCCGAAACACGAUCAAGACCGAUGCAGGGACGCAGGGUCAAGUCUUCUAAGGCAAUGGUUUCCAAGGAAGAGGAGAUCAGGUGGGGAUAGGCAAAUCCGCCCCGCCGUCUGCCAGGAAAAUCUGCUAAGGAGUGUUAGGAAUCCGUACCACAAACCGACACAGGUAGACGUGUUGAAUAUACUCAGGCGCUCGGGUGAUGAAUUGUUCAGGAACUAGGCAAAUUAACUCCGUAACUUCGGGAGAAGGAGUGCCCUCUUAGGAGGGUCGCAGCGAAACGCAUCAGGCGACUGUUUAACUAAAACACAGGUCUCUGCAAAGUCGAAAACGACGUAUAGGGGCUGACGCCUGCCCGGUGCCGGAAGGUUAAAAGGAGUGGUUAGCCGCAAGGCGAAGCUAUGAAUUGAAGCCCCGGUGAACGGCGGCCGUAACAAUAACGGUCCUAAGGUAAAUUCCUUGUCGGGUAAGCUCCGACCUGCACGAAUGGCGUAACGAUCUGAUGACUGUCGUAACAAUUCGCCCGGCGAACUUGUGGUUCCGGUGAAGACGCCGGAUGCCCGCCACUAGACGGAAAGACCCCGUGCACCUUUACUAUACCCUAACAGUGAAUUAUGGUGCUGACUGCGCAGAAUAGGUGGGAGGCUUUGAACUCGGACUCUUGGGUUCGAGGGAGCCAACGUUGAGAUACCACCCUGUUAGUACUGUGAUUCUAACCUACCACCCUGAUCGGGUGAAGGGACAUUGUUAGGCGGGUAGUUUGACUGGGGCGGUCGCCUCCUAAAUUGUAACGGAGGCGUUCGAAGCUUAGUUCAGGCGGUUUGGAAAUCCGCCGACGAGUGCAUUGGCAUAAACUAGGUUGACUGUGAGACUUACAAGUCAAGCAGGUGCGAAAGCAGGACAAAGUGAUCCGGUGGUUCUGUAUGGAAGGGCCAUCGCUCAACGGAUAAAAGGUACGCCGGGGAUAACAGGCUGAUCGGAGUCAAGAGUUCACAUCGACGCUCCGGUUUGGCACCUCGAUGUCGGUUCAUCGCAUCCCGGGGGUGUAGAAGCUCCCAAGGGUUAGGCUGUUCGCCUAUUAAAGCGGUACGUGAACUGGGUUCAGAACGUCGCGAGACAGUUCGGUCCCUAUCUGUGGUGGGCGUAGGAAAAUUGAGGGGGCUUGUCCUUAGUACGAGAGGACCGGGAUGAACUAACCUCUUGUGAUUCAGUUAUCACGCCAGUGGUACAGCUGAGUAGCGAAGUUAGGUCAGGAUAAGCGCUGAAUGCAUAUAAGCGCGAAACCUUCCCCAAGAUGAGUUUUCCCUGAAGGGCCGUUGAAGACUACAACGUUGAUAGGACGGAUGUGUAAGCGUAGUAAUACGUUGAGCUUACCGUUACUAAUAGCCCGUUCGGCUUGACC